GUUGUUAUCCUCAUAGCGAACAAAGUCACGCAGGGUCAUGCCCGGUAAGAAUUGUUCAUUUCUUAGUAUUGGUGCCAGGGGUGAUGGGUCCGAUGUGAGCGCGUGUUGUAAAGAAAGUUUAUUCCAUAUGGCUAUGGAAGUGGUGAGUGCUGGUGUGGUCUGCGGGGCCUUUGGACGUGCGUGCCGUGGCAGCCAUAUGUAUAGGGUGGGGAAGUCCCUGCCAAAUAAGUCAUGCUCUAAAUCUACCCACCGUUUCAGUCCUAUGGGGGCGUGUAAUGCCUGGAUUUGGGUUAGUUGGGCCGCAUGAAAGUAGUGUAGGAAAUGAGGUAGACCUAGUCCCCCGGCCUUGGUCGGGAGAUAUAGGAUGUCUCGUCUAAUCCUGGCGCGUUUGUUUGCCCAUAUGAAGCGGUCGAUCUGCGUUUGUAAGCCUUUGAAAUCUUUGAUCGAUACCUGGACUGGUAGCAUUUGAUUCAAGUACAAGAAUCUUGGUAGAAGAUUCAUUUUGAUGCAGGCUACUCUUCCCAGCCAGGAGAUCGAGUAGGUCUCCCAUGUCUUGAGGUCUGCCAGCGCUUUUUGUAGUAAGGGGGUAUAGUUUAGGUGAUAUGUUUGAGUGACGUCUGCUGGGAGGUUGACGCCUAGGUAGUGUAUAUGAGAUGGGUUGAAAUGGAAAGGAUAGCUGGUCUGCAGGUGGGAUAGCUCGUCAGCUGGGAUUUGGACAGGUAGGGCCUCUGUCUUAUCUAGGUUAAGGCGAUAACCUGAGACUUUGGCAUAUUCGUCCAAGGCGUGAAGGAGUGGAGGUAGAGAUUGUGUUGGAUCGGUGAGGGUUAGGAGGAGAUCGUCUGCGUAUCCUGCAACUUUGUAUUCCUCCCCUCUUAUACAUAUGCCCGAUAUUGUAGGGUCGAACCUGAGGGCUUGGAGGAGGGGUUCUAAUGAGAGGGCGAAUAAUAGUGGGGAGAGGGGGCAUCCCUGUCUGGUUCCAUUGAAGAUGCGGAAGGAGGGGGGUUGUGUGUUAGGGAUGAGGAGGCUUGCUUCUGGGGAGGAGUACAAAGUUUGAAGUGCGUUGAGAAUUGUGUGGGGUACCCGAAAUUUGCGGAGGGUAGCGAACAGAAAAGGCCAUAGGAGUCGGUCAAAAGCCUUCUCUGCGUCUAGUGAGAGAAAGAGGGCUGGGAUGCGUCGGUGUGUUGCGGUCCAGAGGAGGUCGAAGGUCCGUCUUGUGUUGUCGUAUGCUUGUCUGUGGGGUAUGAAACCUACCUGGUCGGGGUGGAUAAGUUUAUGUAUGUAUGGGUUUAUCCUAUUUACGAGUAGUUUAGUGAGUAAUUUGACGUCCACGUUCAGUAGAGAGAUUGGUCUAUAGUGGCUUGGGUCCAGGUGGGAUUUGCCUGGUUUAGGGAGGAGGCACACGUUGGCUCGGAGCAUGUCCGGUGGUAGCGGAUUUCCCUGUAUCACAGAGUUGAAGAGUGAGCAUAGGUGUGGGAGGAG